rnacentral:rRNA from 1 species
UACGUAGGGGGCGAGCGUUGUCCGGAUUUAUUGGGCGUAAAGAGCUCGUAGGCGGUUCGGUAAGUCGGAUGUGAAAUCUCCACGCUCAACGUGGAGGGGCCACUCGAUACUGCCGUGACUCGAGUCCGGUAGGGGAGUGUGGAAUUCCCGGUGUAGCGGUGAAAUGCGCAGAUAUCAGGAGGAACACCGAUGGCGAAGGCAGGUCUCUGGGCCACUACUGACGCUGAGAAGCGAAAGCAUGGGGAGCGAACAGG